AUGGCGAGCGUGAAGGUGUUCGGGUCGCCGAUGUCGGCGGAGGUGGCGCGCGUGCUCAUGUGCCUGUUCGAGAAGGACGUGGAGUUCCAGCUGAUCCGCGUCGACGCCUACCGCGGCCCCAAACGCAUGCCCCAGUACCUCAAGCUCCAGCCCCUCGGCGAGGCGCUCACCUUCGAGGACGGCAGCCUCACCCUCUCCGAGUCGCGGGGCAUCCUGCGGCACAUCUCGCACAAGUACGCCAUGCAGGGCAACCCAGACCUGAUCGGCACGGGGGCGCUGGAGCGCGCGUCCAUCGAGCAGUGGCUGCAGACUGAGGCGCAGAGCUUCGACGAGCCCAGCGCCCAGAUGGUCUACAGCCUCGCCUUCCUGCCGCCUGCCAUGCCGCAGAAGCUCAACAACGGCGACGGCGACGGCAACGGCAACAGCAACGGCAGUAAUGGCACCAGGGCCGUGGUGAACGCGUCGGCGAAGCGCGUGACGGCGGCGGGGGCGGCCAAGGAGGAGGAGAUGCGGAAGCUGUUCGAGAAGAGCCAGAGGGAGCUGGAGAAGCUGCUGGACAUCUACGAGCAGCGCCUGGAGGAGGCGGAGUACCUGGCCGGCGACAAGUUCACCAUCGCCGACCUGUCGCACCUGCCCAACGCCGACCGCCUCGCCGCCGACCCGCGCUCCCGCCGCAUGUUCCAGCGCCGCAAGAACGUCAGCCGCUGGUGGGACAAGGUCUCGCAGCGGGAGGCCUGGACCUACGUCAAGAGCCUGCAGCGCCCGCCCACGUCCAACGGCGCCGGCGCCGACGCCGCUGCCGCGAAGAACCAGCAGCAGCCGCGGUCCGGCGAGGCGCGCGACGGCAGCAGCGACAGCCACAACUACCAGCGCGACCAGUACGCCGACGCGAGCGACGGCGGCAGCAACUACCAGCGCAGCCAGUACGGCGAGCACAGAGACUACCAGCAGAGCCGGACGGGCGACGCGCGGUACUGA
rnacentral:rRNA from 1 species